rnacentral:rRNA from 1 species
GAUGAACGCUGGCGGCGUGCCUAAUACAUGCAAGUCGAGCGAACGGACGAGAAGCUUUCUUCUCUGAUGUUAGCGGCGGACGGGUGAGUAACACGUGGAUAACCCACCUAUAAGACUAGGAUAACUUCGGGAAACCGGAGCUAAUACCGGAUAAUAUUUUGAACCGCAUGGUUCAUAAGUGAAAGACUGUCUUUCUGUCACGUAUAGAUGGAUCCGCGCUGCAUUAGCUAGUUGGUAAGGUAACGGCUUACCAAGGCAACGAGGCAUAGCCGACCUGAGAGGAUGGUCGGCCACACUGGAACGGAGACACGGUCCAGACUCCUACGGUAGGCAGCGGUACGGAAUCGUCCGCUAGGGGCGGGAGCCGGAGGGAACAACGCCGCGUGGGGGGUAAAGGUCUUCGGAUCGUGAAUGUCUGUUAUUAGGGAAGAACAUAUGUGUAGGUAACUGUGCACAUCUUGACGGUACCUAAUCAGAAAGCCACGGCUAACUACGUG